GGUUCGAUGGUGUAGUUGGUUAUCACGUCUGUCUCACAUUGUAAGCCCGCUCUCGGGUUUGUGGUGCACAGGAGGUCUCCGGUUCGAACCCGGGUCGAACCA